rnacentral:lncRNA from 1 species
CUGUACCCACAACAUGCAGAAGUUCCCGGGCCAGGGAUCGAGCACUUGCCACAGCAGCGACCUGAGCCCAUGCGGUGACAACAACGGAUCCCUAGCCCACUGAGCCACAGAGGAACUGCCCCAUGUGCUUUCUUGAGUAGGAGGGAAAGGGGUGACAUUAUAAGUGGCCAACCAAGACUGGUGCCUCUUCCUGGGGGUGCAUGUAUGUGCGCUGUGAAAGUGGACAGCAUCUGUCAGGACUCAUGGUGGAAAAAAGGACAAAACUUCCAGGCUAGAAAAUCAUCAUGAAGGAAGCUGUGAGAUGUUGACCCCACUGGCCCCUUCCCUGACUGGAAAUGAACAGAGGCAGCCAUGCCAAGGAUGCACAAGGAGGUGAUUUUGCAAAACACCCAUCCUUGGUGUGUAGAGUAAAUACUAGAUUCAUGGUCUUUAUUCUCUGAUGGUGCAAAGCACUGGUAGCCAUUUUUCCUGGUCGUGAAAUGAGAUUUCCCAAAAGAAGGACCCGGGCUCUCUCAGAAACUAUUAUUAUGGGGCUCACACAUUUCCUAAGAUUUGUAACCUAAAAUGACUGGAAGUGUUGAUGAUGGAAGCCUCUAUGACCUGGAAAAUUCAUUUGUGCUUGAGUUGCUUAUAGUUUGCAUACAAAGACCCAUUGGUUACCCAUUCUUCUUAAAGUUCAAUUAUUAGAAAAUUGAUCACAUGUCGAAACUGACAGAUUAAUUGCCCUGGAAAUCUAAAUGUGUAAGAGCCUGGCAUCUGCAGACCAACUGGUGCCUGCAUGUUUGGCUCAGGAUGAAUGGACCAGACUCACACAUUGUCAGCCGGAGUUCCUGUCGUGGCGCAGUGGUUAACGAAUCUGACUGGGAACCAUGAGGUUGCGGGUUCGAUCCCUGCCCUUGCUCAGUGGGUUAAGGAUCCGGCGUUGCCGUGAGAUGUGGUGUGGGUCACAGAUGCGGUGCGGAUCCCGCAUUGCUGUGGCUCUGGUGUAGGCUGGCAGCUACAGCUCCGAUUCGACCCCUAGCCUGGGAACCUCCAUAUGCCACGGGAGCAGCCCAAGAAAUGGCAAAAAGUCAAAAAAAAAAAAAAAGUGUCAGCAAAAGAUAGCAGUUUGUUUUAUUUAUUUAUAUGUAUCUUAAUUCUAAUGGAAAAAUCUUGAAAAGCCUAUGUGCAAUUUCUUUUCCAGAUUUGGUUAUAAAUUAAUGUUAUUAAGAACAGUCAUUUGUUUAUAUUAUUUUAAUUAUGCAAAGUAGAUAGAUGCUAUAUAAUAAUAGUAAUAGCUAAUACAAUUGCAUGCCCCCUCCUGGUGGGAGCUCCUCUCGAGGCUUAGUGGAAACGAAUCUGACUAGCACCCAUGAGAAUACAGGUUCAAUCCCUGGCCUUGCUCAGUGGGUUAAGGAUCUGGCAUUGCCAUGGGCUGUGGUAUAGGUCACAGACAUGGCUCUGAUCCUGUGUUGCUGUGGCUGUGGUGUAGGCUGGCAGCUGUAGCUGCCAUUGAACCCUUAGCCUGAGGACCUCCAUGUACUGCCUGUGUGGCCCUAAAAAGAGAAAAAAAAAAAAAAAGGUGUCCCAGUGGAGUUCCCAUUGUGGAGCAGCAGAAAUGAAUCCAGUUAGUAUCCACAAGGAUUCAGGUUUGAUCCCUGGCCUCGAUCAGUGGAUUGGGGAUCCAGCAUUGCUGUGAGCUGUGGUGUAGGUCGCAGACACGACUUGGAUCCGAUCUAGAUUGGUGGCUACAGCUCCGAUGAGACCCCUAGCUUGGGAACCUCCAUAUGCCGCAGGUGCGGCCCUAGAAAAGGCAAAAAGACAAAAAAAAAAAAAAAAAAAAAAAAAAAAAAAAAAAAAAGGGUACCCUGGUUUUGGAGUUCCUACGGUGGCACAUUGUGUUAAGAAUCUGAAUGCAGGAUUUCCUGUUGUGGCUCAGCUGGUUAAGAACCCGACUAGUGUAUUCCUGAGGAUUCAGGUUAAAUCCCUGGCCUUGCUCAAUGGGCAAAGGAUCUGGUGUUUCUGUGAGCUGUGGUGAAGAGUUGCAGACACAGCUUGGAUCUGGUGUUGCUGGGCUGUGGGGUAGGCCAGUGGCUUCAGCUCUGAUUCCACCCCUAGCCCGGGAACUUCCAUAUGCUGCAGAUGCGGCCCUACAAAAAAAAAAAAAAAAGAAUCUGACUAUAGCAGGGCUCCGGUCUCAGCAGUGGCUCAGGUUAUAUCGUGGCCCAGCACAGCAGGUUAAGGGUCCAGUGUUGCCACAACUGUGACUCAAAUUCAAUCCCUGGUCCGAGAAAGUGUCCUGUUUUUAUAUGCUAUGAUCACCCUAUGCACUGAAAACUUACUUUGUGCUAAGUGCUCUUCUAAGUGCUUUAUGUGGACCCAUUUAUACAUAGUCUGGGUCCCAUAUAUAUUGUGAGAAUAUACCUUCAAAUUUUGAAGACAAUAACUAUUCAGCAUUAGCCAGAAUGAUAUUGUGCAUGCUCUUAAUAGACUCUUCUUAGCAUUUUCAUUAGUCAGGGGUGUAAUGAUGCUGGGAAAAUCUAAUAAUAAAGGUAAGCAAUGGUAAUUGGUUGUUAUGGAUUAAUCAAAGAGUAUAUAAAGCAGCGCAUAUAAAUUCUGGAUCUAAUCAUCACUGUUUGGAAGUGCUCUGGGUCCUUUCAGGGAAGACGAAUGAGUAUUGAGAGAAAACUGACAUUUUUUUCUCCUUAACGACAGUUCUUUUCAUUAAAGAUGAGUUUAUCACUGGUGAUUACCUUUUUUCCUUUCAGCAGGCUUGUAUAGAAUAACAAGGCAAGAGAAAAAACAAUGCUAAAAAACUUACCACAAUCAAGUGGAAAUUAUUGGGUCUUUCACAUUAGCUUUCUUAUAUAACAAAGGUUAAAUAUGAGGUUCCUGAUGACUCUGUGAAUAUAUAAAAACCACUGACUUUUACACCUUAAGUUGGUGAAUUGCAUGGUAAACAAUUUAUAUCACAGUAAAUACGUAAUAAAAAAAUUAGGUA